rnacentral:rRNA from 1 species
AACCCCUCGCUGCCAGUUGCCAACGGGUGAGGCCGGGCACUCUGGCGGGACUGCCAUCGACAAGAUGGAGGAAGGUGGGGAUGACGUCAAGUCAUCAUGGCCCUUAUGUCCAGGGCGACACACGUGCUACAAUGGCCGGCACAGCGGGAAGCGAGGCAGUGAUGCCAAGCGGAUCCCUUAAAGCCGGUCUCAGUUCGGAUUGAAGUCUGCAACUCGACUUCAUGAAGCUGGAAUCGCUAGUAAUCGCAGAUCAGCCAAGCUGCGGUGAAUACGUUCCCGGGCCUU